rnacentral:rRNA from 1 species
GUGAGGAAUAUUGCACAAUGGGCGAAAGCCUGAUGCAGCAACGCCGCGUGAGUGAUGAAGGCCUUUGGGUCGUAAAACUCUGUCCUUGGGGAAGAAAAAAAUGACGGUACCCUUGGAGGAAGCCCCGGCUAACUACGUGCCAGCAGCCGCGGUAAUACGUAGGGGGCAAGCGUUAUCCGGAAUUAUUGGGCGUAAAGAGUGCGUAGGUGGUUUUGUAAGCGUAGGGUGAAAGGCAGUAGCUCAACUAUUGUUAGCCCUGCGAACUGUGAGACGUGAGUGCAGGAGAGGAAAGUGGAAUUCCUAGUGUAGCGGUGAAAUGCGUAGAUAUUAGGAGGAACACCAGUGGCGAAGGCGACUUUCUGGACUGUAACUGACACUGAGGCACGAAAGCGUGGGUAGCAAACAGGAUUAGAAACCCCUGUAGUCC